GACAGAGGGUGCAAACGUUGUUCGGAAUUACUGGGCGUAAAGCGCAUGUAGGCGGCCACGCAGGUCGGAUGUGAAAUCCCUCGGCUCAACCAAGGAAGUGCAUUCGAAACCGCAUGGCUCGAGUCCCGGAGAGGGUGGCGGAAUUCUCGGUGUAGAGGUGAAAUUCGUAGAUAUCGAGAGGAACACCGGCGGCGAAAGCGGCCACCUGGACCGAGGGACU
rnacentral:rRNA from 1 species